GUUUAAAAUGUUUUUGCACAAAGAAAUGUGCACUUGAAUGAGUAUAUCUAUAGCAUAAAUUCUUAGAUAAGAGAUUGCUAAAGUUCAAAUAAUGUUAAUAUGUAGAGCCAAAUUGUCCCUCCCAGAAAGCGUUUUGAAGGUUGUAUCCUCACCUUUAUUUAAGAAGACACCUAUCCCCCUCAAUCUCACUAAAUCCUCUCUAUUAUCUACCUAUUUUUAGUAUCUCAUAAGUGACUAGGAUAAAGUGUAAAUAUCCAGAGGCAGGCAUAUAAAGUCAUUUUAAAAUUUGUUCUCGCCUAGUUCUCACCAUUCACACUUUCCAUGGGAACUUCUUUGUCUGCUCCACAGACUUCCUGUCUCUGCCCAAUGUCAACCCAGAUGCCAGGUAUACAGUACAGAUGUCAGCGGAAAAGAGUCUUCCUGACAUGCAGUUGGGUUCUUUUCAGUCAGCACUCUUGUAUACAUCAAGCAAAGGUGAAAGAAGAAUACUAUCCGUACUUUGUGUUUGCCAGUAGUUUCAACUCUGAAUGAAGUCUUUCUGGAAGCUGAUGUUCAAGCAAUUUCAGGGUUAUUGGCCAAUAUGGGUUUUUUCUGAAGCACAUAUUACUGACCAGGUAUUUUGCUUAUUUAUUAUUUUCUUCUCCUUGUAUAGAAUGCAGUCUGACAUAACCAUAGGGCUUUUAUCUUUUUCAUUCACUACUUUGUUCCAGCACCUAAACAGUUCCCUGCAUAAUAGCUGGGGAUGUGGCUCAAGUGGUAGAGUGCAAAGGCCUAAGUUCAAACCACAGUACUGCCAAAACAAUAAACAAAAAUCCAAAACAAACAUAAUAGACACUCAUUAAAUAUUUUUAAUGUGUACUUGGAGCUUUGCUUCUUUCAUUUCCCGUAGUACUUGCCUCCUUCUUAGUGACUGUCCACAUACUAAUUUCAAAAAUCAUACAGCUUUUUGUUUUUUCAUUCAAUGACACUUGUUGGAAGCACAGUAGGAGACUACAUGCAGCUCUGAAUGCCUCAUGGGUAGUUGGGAAUUUUAGAAAGAGUAAGGUGGGGUUGAUGGAUAGAAAAUUACUAAUAGGUACCAUCAAGAUUACCAAGGACUAUUGGCACACCCGUGUGAUGCCAGCAUUUGGUCUGCUGAGGCAGGAUGAUUGUGAGUUCAAGACCAGCCUGGGAUACCUAUUGAGACACUGUCUCAAAGGAACAGAAAAAAA